GACGAACGCUGGCGGCGUGCCUAAUACAUGCAAGUAGAACGCACAGUUUAUACCCUAGCUUGCUACACCAUAGACUGUGAGUUGCGAACGGUUGAGUAACGCGUAGGUAACCUGCCUGGUAGCAGGGGAUAACUAUUGGAACCGAUAGCUAAUACCGCAUCAUAUUAAUUAUUUCAUGAUAAUUAAUUGAACGGUGCAAUUGCACCACUACCUGGUGGACCUGCGUUGUAUUAGCUAGUAGGUGAGGUAACGGCUCAACCAGGUGAAGAUACAUAACCGACCUGAGUGGAUGAUAGGCCACAGUGGGACUGCGACAGCGCCCAGAACCCCGCAGGGGGCGGCAGUAAGGAAUCUUCGGCAAAGGACGAAAGUCUGACCGAGAAACGCCGCGUCAGUGAAUAAGGUUUUCGGAUCAUAAAGCUCUGUUGUAGGGGAAGAAAGGGUGUGAGAGUGGAAAGUUCACACUGUGACGGUAACUGACAAGAAAGGGACGGCUAACUACGUG
rnacentral:rRNA from 1 species